rnacentral:tRNA from 1 species
GUUAGCUCAGUUGGUAGAGCGCUCCACCUGUAAUGGAGAGGUCCCGGGUUCGAUACCCGGACCAGGCG